AAUAAAAUAAAAGGAACCGAGUCUCCGCAAUCGUCGAGCCAUUCGCAACUAGAAACCCUAGCCAUCUCCCCACGCCGCCGCCGUUCCCCUCCGGUAACCAUGGCUGGGAUGGCAUCACGCUGCGAAGGCAACACAACCGGCGACAAAGGCUACUGUAGUGUGAUUUAUUCACCCUAUCCACAGUCGUCGCCUCUUCCUCCUCGCCUGACCGACCUGUUCCAACACUUUGGUCUGGACAAGAUCCGCGCGAUGGUAAGACGUUCUGAGAGGAAAUGAGUGCUUUCGAACGUGCUCGUGAUGUAUUCUACAUCGUCGAGGGCGAGGAUGGCGACGAGGACGACGAAGACGACGAGGACGACGACGUGGAUGUGGACGAGUCGGAUAGAAAGCUCUUAGAUGAUGAAAAGAAACCCGAUAUCACGAAACGACCACACACUCCUAUUGGAGAUGAGGUGGAAUGCAAGAAGCCAAAGAUAGCAGAAGGCUCAAGGUGCCAAGGAGAAGAACCUGAGGCUGGAGGGAUAAAGAAUUCCUCCUGGAAGAAGAUUUGGGGCUGCGCUUUGGUCUGCGGCGAGGUGGACAGGGGAAGCGUCGAAUCCAAUCCAGGCCACCUAGACCAGAAGAAUUGAAUAGCUCUUGCUAUUUGUUUGCCACAGGAAUCCUUAAUUAGUUUUAAUUUCCUCUGCAAAUUGUAUGGUAGGUAGUUAUUUGGUAAUACAUGAGCCUGACCUGAACUUUGGCAUCCCAAAGUCUCUCAAUCUUGAUUGUUAGUUCCUUGCCCCUGAUAUUCUUAAUGCCACGUAAGGUUAGACACAACCAUUACAGUUUUGACAACAACACUGAAACAUCAAUGAUAUAAUUUGACAUAUUUGUAUGAGGAUGACUAUUUCGUUGUUACUUUUGCAGGAGAGUUCUAUUAUCAGACCAGGGUAAGUGCCGUUGAUAUGAUGGAUGCCAUCAGGUUGGAGUUUGAAGCUGUUGUCAACAAUGGAUGCAUGCCAGUUCUGCGCGCAAAGCUAUUGUCAACAAAGGGAUGCCUCCGUGUCCCACAGGAACCUUGAGAAGCUUGUGCCGACUAUAUGGCAGCAAUUGUAUGUUGCAAGACAUGUGCUAGACAAACAAGAACUGGAUGCCGACAUGUCCACAUAGAUGGUGCAAACAUCGACGAAUUAAGACUAGUGUGAAAAUAAUCCUUCCAAGUUUUUCAACAAAAGAGAGAUGAAAUACUUUAGGCAGUGCUGUAAUGUAAAAUACUACAGCAAAAGAAAAUGAUUAUGGUUCACUAGAUGGUUCUGUUUCAGUUAUUGGAAUGGUUUCCCUUCUAUAUUCAUCAGGUUCGAGUGGGAAGCUGCUAUUGACAAUGGAUGCAUGCAAAUACUGCACACAAAGGUAUUUUCGACGAAGGGAUGCCGAUGUGUCUCAAAGGAAGCUCGAGAAGCUGGUGCCGACUAUAGGAUGUUGCAAGAUAUGCGCCAGACAAACAACAACCGGAUGCCGACAUGUCCGCGUAGAAUCUGCAACCAACGACAUAAUGCAUCAAGGCCAGUGUGAGAAAAAUGAUUGUGCUUCAGUUAUUGGAAUGGUUUUCCUUCUAUGUUCAUAUCAUCAUUAUAUUAUUUACGAAUUUUGCAUUCCACUAUGAAUUUAAUAUGAACUAAUGCAGUCACGACACCCUAUUUCUUUCCCUGCUAUACACCUAUAUAUCACUAUACCAAUUUAAAUACAGGGAGCUGCCUAUGGACUUGGAAGCCUGAAAAAGGCAAAUAGUAAACAACUUUGAGUUUCAUAAUCAAAAUUGAGGCAAUAUUGUAUAUAUUUAAUUGGAAUUAUGUGAAAAUUGUAGUGUGCCUUAUCUAUUUCCUUAUCUAUUGUUAUGUAUUAUUUGUACAGUUAUUGUUCAAUGUUUAAUUUAACCUUAUGUAAUUUCUGAAGAAAAAAAAAAUGAAAGAUGCAUAAAUGGAUAAGCAGGUGAAGAUAUUAUUGUUAUGGCUGAUCAUGGAGGAUGCCUAUUCCUUUGAGCUUCCAUUGUCGAUAGGGACGUUGUAGUGAGAUUUCUAUCGAACUGAAGAUAUUGAAAGUUGAAGGUUGGCACUGGUGGGGUUUGCUUCUAUGAGUACUGUUAGGUAUGUGGUGUCAACAAGUUAUGCUUAGAAGUACUAAACUUAUGUACGCAAAUAGCACUAUCUUUCAUUGCACACACACCUGGAUGCUAAUUCUUCCUUGGAUUUUUUGUACGCAAAUAGCACUACCUUUCAUUGCACACACCAGGCUGCUAAUUCUUCAAAGUAUUAUGCUAUAAAAUAUGAAUUAAAUUUAGGCAGGUCUAUCUUACAUAUGCGAACUCAUCUCAGGCAUUUUCCUUUAGCUACACAAUUUACUCAAGUUCUCUUUUUGUAUUGCCAUUCAGCGACCUCUAUAUUUGAUUACUCGCCUAACCAAGAGAAUGAGUUACUAUUUAGUUUCUUCUGAUCUGCUCUGUUGCAAAUUAGGCAUCUUAUACACUAGCUUGAAAUGAUAUUCUUUAAUGUUUAUAAGAAUAAUAAUUGUAAUAUGACAUCAAUUUGGGCGUAAAUGUGAAGUUAAUGUAGAGAAAUUUAUAUAGAGAAAAUCACAGUUUUUUAUUAUCAUACAGAGAAACCAUAAAUCAAGAACCACCUCUGAAGCUCUGACACCCCCCCUGCACCACCCUAGGUCCGACUAACUCUGUCCUAGCUUCGCCUCUCCACUUCUCCAAUCACCACAGGUCGUUGUGUUCUUAUGUAUGCAUCCAUUGCAUCAGAGACUCUUACCACCACAUCUAGGCUAAGCUCAAGGAUCCUUUUUUUGUUUACAAAAUUAGGUAUUUGAUUAUAGUUAUUUUAUCUCUAAAUAGGAGGGAUUUUUCUUUUUUGUAAUAAUUAAGUCAUGAAAGUUGGUUGUACAUAAUAAAACAAACAGAUCUGCGUGGAGCUGCAUGCAUUAUACAUAAUUAGCUUAAUUAGCAUUAUAAGUUUUUGUACUGAUGUUUCCACCAUAUAAUUAAAGUGUACCUACCGUCAUCUUGCCUGUAUCCGAAUUGCAAAGUUUUAUAGUUCAUAUGUGGGCUUGCAUACUACAUAAAACUGGGUGGUGCUACCAAUUUCUGAAGCAAUGCAAUCUAUUGUUUUCUUUUAUUCAAAUAUUCAGUCUGACUUCGCACUCUCUGUCUCUCUUGAUUUCUUAGUAGUUAGUUAUGUUCUCUCUAACUUUUAGCAAUUAUACGGCUGAUCGGCACCAUUCCGCCCUCAACUCGCUAAUGAUUCGUCUAUUUAGUUAUUUUAGGAUCAUUUAUAUUUAUACAGUUUACGCUCCAAAUAAUCUUCAUACAGAUGGUCCAAAUUUGUGAUUACAUGAAUCAUAUUUCUAUGUUCACCUUUUCCAGAAUUUGCAUUUUUCUGAAGUCAUCAACGUGUCAGAGUGGGAGUAUGGGGCACAUAUAAGUGUGUAUUCUGCAGGUGAGAAAAAUGGUAAGCUUUCAAGGGUCAUCAACAACAGUGUGAUGUAUAGUACUACUAGUAUUUAACUGAAAUUAAUUACAAAUGGUCCAUCUUAAUUACAUGAACUUCAUUUCUAGGGUCCCCUUUUACCUAUGAUUGAAUAUUAAUCAAGUAAAGAAUGUGCUGGAUUUAUAAUCAUAUUCCACGACAUCAGAUGUCUAGAUUUCUUGUGAUUACCUAUUGCCAAUAUCCAGCAUUUCAUCUUUAGAUAUAGGUGAACCCCUUUUAUGAGCAACAACGUAAGUAUCUGCAUUCUUAUCUUCCACUGUGUCCUUUACAGACCUUUCAUCUUUACCGCCUCCAUUACCUCUAUCAGAUCUUCUUUUAUGAGCGGCGGCACUCGUCGGUCACUGUAUGAUCAUCGAUGGGUCGUCUAUCAGAUCUUCUUUUGUCAUCCCGCAUCUUGGGUUGUAAGAUUUAGUAGACUUUUGGAAGGUUUGGUGUAAGCUAAUAUUAUUUUUGCUAUUUUGCUAUUUCUCUCUUUGGUCUGUCUCCUCUUACUUCUACAACAAUGAAAGUUUCAGUUAGAUGCCACGGUUGUCAAAAGCACUCACACUGCAUCAUAUAAUAUUUUUAGCGAAGAUUAUGCUAUCGUUAUGGAUGAUCUUUUUUUUGCAGGGGCAUUAAGGAUGCUUUUUUCUUGCAGGAGCACUAUGGAUGAUCUUCAAGGCUAUGUAUUUUGACUGAAUUUUUGUUUAUCCCCGUUGCAACACACGGGUAAUGUUUCCUAUGAAUUUGUAAAAUUAAUGCACAAUCCAGGUCGCAUCCACACCAAUUAAUAAAUUCAGCCUCAAGUUCCUACAGCCACAUCAAUUUGAAAAAUCGAGAGGAAAAUCCAAAGCCGAAAUCCACUAUCGCAAAUUUUGAGAAUUUUACAGUAACAUCUCUCUCUCAAAUAGUACUUUAUCAAACCAGAGAUGAUUAAGAACUUGCAGAUUUCCCGUUACUAAGUUCUGCCUAAUUUAUUUCUAUUUAAGAUUGGCAUUUGACAAAUCCCACGAGAGCUCCUGUUCGGCGCCUGUUGCCAAUAUCCAACAUUUCAUCUUUAGAUAUAGAUGAACCCUUUUUAUGAGCAACAACGUAAGUAUCUGCAUUCUUAUCUUCCACUGUGUCCUUUACAGACCUUUCAUCUUUACCGCCUCCAUUACCUCUAUCAGAUCUUCUUUUAUGGGCGGCGGCACUCGUCGGUCACUGUAUGAUCAUCGAUGGGUCGUCUAUCAGAUCUUCUUUUGUCAUCCCGCAUCUUGGGUUGUAAGAUUCAGUAGACUUUUGGAAGGUUUGGUGUAAGCUAAUAUUAUUUUUGCUAUUUUGAUAUUUCUCUCUUUGGUCUGUCUCCUCUUACUUCUACAACAAUGAAAGUUUCAGUUAGAUGCCACGGUUGUCAAAAGCACUCACACUGCAUCAUAUAAUAUUUUCAGCGAA